rnacentral:rRNA from 1 species
AGUGAACGCUGGCGGUAGGCCUAACACAUGCAAGUCGAACGGUAGCACAGUAAGAGCUUGCUCUUACGGGUGGCGAGUGGCGGACGGGUGAGGAAUACAUCGGAAUCUACUUUUUCGUGGGGGAUAACGUAGGGAAACUUACGCUAAUACCGCAUACGACCUACGGGUGAAAGCAGGGGAUCUUCGGACCUUGCGCGAUUGAAUGAGCCGAUGUCGGAUUAGCUAGUUGGCGGGGUAAAGGCCCACCAAGGCGACGAUCCGUAGCUGGUCUGAGAGGAUGAUCAGCCACACUGGAACUGAGACACGGUCCAGACUCCUACGGGAGGCAGCAGUGGGGAAUAUUGGACAAAGGGCGCAAGCCUGAUCCAGCCAUACCGCGUGGGUGAAGAAGGCCUUCGGGUUGUAAAGCCCUUUUGUUGGGAAAGAAAAGCAGCAGGUUAAUACCCCGCUGUUCUGACGGUACCCAAAGAAUAAGCACCGGCUAACCUCGUG